UAGAUAAAUGUGAAUUUCCCCAGUUUUUAAAGGGGAGGUUCCAUCCCUAAUAGUGAGUGUUCUCUUCCAUUUUUACAAUAUACAAUAGGAUAGGACUCACUGUAAAAUUAAGGCAAACAAACUUGUGAGGAUUUAAAACUCUUGGUUUUGACAGGUCAGCACAACUCAUAACUUUGUACUUGGCUGUGCCAUUCACUCUCUCAGUGUGCAGACACUGUUUUGGCCUCAUUAUUGGUCAUGUGUAAAGGUGCAGUUUGGGCGGCAGGAUUGGAGCUUUAUCGUAUGGUCUUGAUAGACAGCAUAACUUCAAAGGCAGAUCUGGGAGUCAAGUUUUUUAUAUAUCUAGGCAAAAGGGACCCCUUACUUAUCUUUUUCAUAUUUUAACUAUUUCCCAUAAGGAUUAACAAGAGUUUCAUUUCAUAAGAUAGGAGGUUCAGUGGUUUUUCUCACUACUUUCAAAAAUUUUGGAGAGGUGUCAAGAAAUCUGCUCCUACCACUGAGCUAGCUCUUCGUCAUCACCUUGACAAUUUCUUUUGGAGGUAAUCAGCAACUUUGAAAGUUAUUGGUACUAACUUGCAGCUGUUUUCCUUCAAAAUUUUGCUCUUUUUCUUUUGCCCGAUCCUUCUGUGUCCACAACAGAGAGUUAAGUGUUCUCUAAUACUGCUCAAGCUCAAGCCCAUGAAAAGUUUGCGACCAAUAUUUUGCUGUUGAAAUGAAAAGAGGCUGCUGGGAAAAGAAGACUGGGGGCUAUAAUGUCCAGCACGCAUCAAGAAAUUCUACAUGUCUAGGCCACUUUCAACACUAUUCACCUUUCUGCAAAAUUAUUUAUCAUCUUCUUAAACUGAUGUGUGACUCUUCAGUAUCUUAUUUUGACAUCUGCUGUUGCGUACAGAAGAGGCAAAAGUGCCAGGAAGAAGGCAUUUGCUGAUCACAAGACUAAGGUUCUACAUAAUGCGUAAUAAAAUGAACAUCUAAUUCACGG